CCGUCCUACUCCAUUCCAAUAGGGCGGUGGGAGCCGUAUAUAAAGGAGGAAAUCCGCCGGUCCGGCGGUGCGGCAGUGUGGAGACCUGUCGUAACGUCCGCAGAGUUUCGCUCUCUGCGGGCAAGGGGGUAUUUGCGGAGGCAUUGCCCCUACGGCCAAAACGUAUGGCA
rnacentral:ncRNA from 1 species